AUCAGUCAAAUAGAUGAAAGCACAAAGGGGAGAAAAAUCAAAGUUGGAAACUGUCAAAUACAAUCAACAGACAAGGCUGGUGCAGUAAAGCCACUGUAAGACUGUGUGUCAAGUCAAAUUACAGUAUUGGAUUUUUCCAAAUAAAACUAGUUCUAUGAAAUUUAAACUUGUGAAAUGUGAAAAUGCAGCACCUGACAGGAUCCUCUAAAGGAAUUACAAAUUCCACACUUUUUUGUUUUAUCCAGUAUGGAUCAUGAUCUAAAAUGAGUUAUACUACAACAAAUACAGGAUAACAGUAUAGUUUCAAUCAACUAUUAAAAAAUAAAUAUGAAUUAAUAAAGUUUUUCCCAACAGGUAAAAGAAGAAAAUCAAGCAUCAGAAAGAUGAAGAUAAUAAAGAGCAUUAGAGCUGAAACAAUUAGUUGAUUGGUUGAUGGAUAAAAAGAAAUAGCAUUUUAACUAUGA